rnacentral:rRNA from 1 species
UUUUCGCAAUGCCCGAAAGGGUGACGAAGCGACGCCGCGUGGGUGAGGAAGGCCUUCGGGUUGUAAAGCCCUGUCAGGAGUUAAGAAAUGUAAGUGCGCUAAUAUCGCAUUUAUUUGACGAAGGCUCCAAAGGAAGCCACGGCUAACUCUGUGCCAGCAGCCGCGGUAAUACAGAGGUGGCAAGCGUUGUUCGGAAUUAUUGGGCGUAAAGAGCACGUAGGUGGGUUUGUAAGUCAGAUGUGAAAGCCUUCUGUUCAACGGAAGAAUUGCAUCUGAAACUGCGAGUCUUGAGUGUAGGAGGGGAGAAUGGAACUUCUGGUGGAGCGGUGAAAUGCGUAGAUAUCAGAAGGAACGCCGGCGGCGAAAGCGAUUCUCUGGCCUAUUACUGACACUCAGUGUGCGAAAGCUAGGGGAGCAAACGGGAUUAGAUACCCCGGUAGUCCUAGCCGUAAACGAUGGGCACUAAGUAGAGGGGUUUU